UUUCUGUAUUCUGUUAAUCGCAACAAGACCUCAUUGCUUUGAAAAUUUAAAGUGGAAUGAUACAUUCUUUUUGAAUGUUUUUAUAUAUUUUAUACAUUAAAACAUGACAAAUUUCAUAAUGUAGAAUAGAUGUCAUUUAAUUUUUACAAAUAAUAAUUUGAUGCUUUUAUGAUUGGAAACAAUUGUACUAAAUUUUGGUAGUUUAUAUAUUUUGCUGCACGUGUGUCUUUCAGAGCAUUUGUUCAUUGCAUUAUAAAUGAGUUAUUAAUUUAUUUGAUGACACUUUUCAAAAUAUGUUUAGUAAGGCUGUUGCUAAUAUAGAUUCUUGAAGCAGAUGCAUUACUUAAUGUUUGUCUUUUUAUGUGUGUGUGUAUUUAUUGUUGAUUAAUUGCUCGCUCAGAUAUCAUGACCUUGUAUGUCCUAGAAUGAUAUAUAAAUACAUUGUUAGUGUGUAUAGAUAAACAUAUAUAUACAUGUUAUUGUUACCAUUAUAUGAAUAGGUGGUGUGUCAAAGAUAUUUUAUACUAGACAUUUUUUAUACAAUGAUUCAUUCCGUCCACAAUUAUAAGAUGCCAAAUAUUAUGUUUAAUGAAUUAAAUUUGUUUGUUUUUUUUUUUUUGUUAAAUAUUGUUUCGUCUUUUUAUGAACUCUUCCUCAAUAACGAACAUUAGAUGUUAAAUUGAAGUGAUUACUUGUUCAAGGCUUAAUUUUGUAUGGCAAAUGUUGAAGUUCCUUAAAUUUGAUGAUAAGGAAUAUUCAGUUUGUUUUGUUUAAGAAUCAUUACUUUCAUGCUGUAUAUUAUAUCCUUAAGGGCAUACGAUACAGUUACAGGGGAGGUAAUGACGUUGCUAACGUAAAAUGUUAUUUUCGCGACGUCAGACUGUGACAUAUCGGGAAAAGAUGCAUUUUCCGACUGAUUUUUAGCAUUCAAACUGAUUUAAUUCGAAAACGAGUGCAUGGACCCCCAUUUUUUAAAGCGACAUUUUGUUUCAUUUUGCAGGGAGAUUAUGUGGACCAAAUUUUAUAAAACUGUAAAUAGUGCAAUUUUUUUAAUUUUGAUAAAUAUACAGCAAAAAAUUAGUGUUUUUU
rnacentral:lncRNA from 1 species